AUACGUAGGGGGCGAGCGUUGUCCGGAAUGAUUGGGCGUAAAGGGUGCGUAGGCGGCGCGGCAAGUCUGGAGUGAAAGUCCUGCUUUCAAGGUGGGAAUUGCUUUGGAUACUGCCGCGCUUGAGUGCAGGAGAGGUUAUCGGAAUUCCCGGUGUAGCGGUGAAAUGCGUAGAGAUCGGGAGGAACACCAGUGGCGAAGGCGGGUAAAAGGAAUGCAACUGACGCUGAGGCGCGAAAGUGUGGGUAGCAAACAGGAAUAGAUACCCUGGUAGUCCACACUUUAAACGAUGAAUGCUAGGUGUAAGAGGUAUCGCCCCCUUUUGUGCCGGAGUCAACACAAUAAGCAUUCCGCCUGGGGAGUACGGCCGCAAGGUUGAAACUCAAAUGAAUUGACGGGG
rnacentral:rRNA from 1 species